rnacentral:rRNA from 1 species
CCUACGGGUGGCAGCAGUGAGGAAUAUUGGUCAAUGGACGAGAGUCUGAACCAGCCAAGUAGCGUGAAGGAUGACUGCCCUAUGGGUUGUAAACUUCUUUUAUAUGGGAAUAAAAUGUUCCACGUGUGGGAUUUUGUAUGUACCAUAUGAAUAAGGAUCGGCUAACUCCGUUCCAGCAGCCGCGGUAAUACGGAGGAUCCACGCGUUAUCCGGAUUGAUUGGGUUUAAAGGGAGCGUAGGUGGAUUGUUAAGGCAUUUGUGAAAGUUUGCGGCUCAACCGUAAAAUUGCAGUUGAAACUGGCAGUCUUGAGUACAGUAGAGGUGGGCGGAAUUCGUGGUGUAGCGGUGAAAUGCUUAGAUAUCACGAAGAACUCCGAUUGCGAAGGCAGUUCACUGGACUGCAACUGACACUGAGGCUCGAAAGUGUGGGUAUCAAACAGGAUUGGAUACCCUUGUAGUC